CCAAACAUGUUAUAUGAGCAGGACAAGCAAUAAUGGGGACUUCUCUAAGUCAUUACAGAGUAGGGAUACAGUAAAAACUAGAUUGGAAAAGGCGGAGGUGAUUUCUGAAGUUUUGGCUUCUAAGGGGAAGUAUAUCUACUGCAAGUCAGAUAAUUGGGAAGCUGCAUGAUAAAUGUGGGUAUUUAUUGGAGACAAAAGUUUGUUUCUAUGAUUGGUGAGCAAGAGAGAAUAGUAGUUAAGAGCAAGAAAGUACCAUCCAAGAGCAGACAUGUAAAAUCCAUGGCUUUGAUGUCAUAG
rnacentral:lncRNA from 1 species